rnacentral:rRNA from 1 species
AUACGUAGGUCCCGAACGUUGCGCGAAAUUACUGGGCGUAAAGGGUCCGUAGGCGGUCUGGUAAGUGGAAGGUGAAAGCCUGGGGCUCAACUCCAGAAUUGCCUUCCAAACUGCCGGACUUGAGGCAGGGAGAGGUCGGCGGAAUUCCCGGUGUAGUGGUGAAAUGCGUAGAUACCGGGAGGAACACCAGUGGCGAAGGCGGCCGACUGGAACUGUCCUGACGCUGAGGGACGAAAGCCAGGGGAGCGAACCGGAUUAGAAACCCUAGUAGUCC